CGUGAUUUGGUAAGCAAAUUUUGUCUGUUUUUAAUAAUUUUUAUGUUUUGAGAUCGUUGCAACUAGUUCCAACUAACCCGUACCUUCGUUUCUAAUUCUGUUAAAAAUUUUAGAAGUUGUCAUUGAUAAAUAUUAGAUGUUUUUUUUAUAAAAAACAUGAAUUUGGAGCUUUGAUUGUGUUGUGUGAUGAUUUUAUGAAGUGAUUUUUUGUUAAAUAUUGACUUCAGGAUUAAAUUGUAAAAAUGUAAAAAUAUUAGGUUUGAUAGUGAAUUUUAGGUUUAUUAGGGCUGUAUAAGGGCAUAUAAUAUUUGGAUAGAUUAUUGAUUUGAUAAAAUUAGUUAAUUUGAUAGAUUAACUAAUUAAGGGAUUAAAUUGUAAAAACUGUAAAAGUUUAGGGUAAUUAUGUAAAUUUGAAAAAUAAAAGGGUAUUGAUUGUAAAAUGGAUUGGAAAUGAAAUAUAUGCUAAUAAAUGAGUAAUUUUAUAUUUUAGAUUAAGAUCCCGUGGAUACUUGUGGAAAAUGAAAAAUAGCGAAAUAGUUCCUGAACUUCUGCAAUUACUACAAUUCAGUCCAGGUAAGUUCGUAUGGUUAAAAUUUAAUAGUUGUAUAAAUUUAUGAUUUUUAUUAUGUAUAUAUUCUAUUUUUGGAAAUGAAUUAUUGUUUGAAUUAUAAUAUUGAAUUGGAUAUUCGGUUUGAAUUGAACGCGAGAUUUGAGUACAUUCGUGAUUUGGUGUAUGAUAGGGGUUUGGAGUGGAGCUGGUAUUGGAAGGAGAUAUCGGCAUUUUACUCAAGUAAACUGGGGUUCAGCAUUUGUUGCGAGCUCUCGUAUUUUACUUUCUAUUUGGCGUAAUUGGGUGGAUCAACUCUUACAAGCUCCUGUUCAGCUCUUACGAGCUUCUAUUCAGCUCUUAUGAGUUUUUGUUCACCUUUCGAGCUUCUGUUGGCGUAUUCAGGAGGACCAGCUCUUAUGAGCUUCUGUUGACGAUGUACUCUUAUCCGUAAGUCGUUCUUCGAAUGGAAAAAUCUUGGUAAGGU
rnacentral:lncRNA from 1 species